AGUUUCGGGAAACCAACAAGGAGGAGUGUAUCUGCAGCCAUCCUGAACCCCAGUUGCUAGGCCUGCGUGAGAGCAGUGGCAGCGGCGUGGAGGAAGACCAUGAAUGCGUGUACUGUUACCGUGUCAACCGGCGCCUGUUCCCGGUGCCUGUGGAUCCCGGUACCCCCUGCCGCCUGUGCAGGACACCGCGAGACCAGCAGGGCCCUGGGACCCUGGCGCAGCCAGCGCAGGUCAGGGUGAGCAUCCCGCUGUCGAUCCUGGAGCCCCCGCACCGGUACCACAUCCACCGGCGAAAGAGCUUUGACGCCUCUGACACACUGGCCCUGCCCCGGCACUGCCUGCUGGGCUGGGACAUUUUUCCUCCGAAGUCUGAGAAAAGCUCAGCCCCCAGGAACCUGGACCUCUGGUCCUCUGUCUCCGCUGAGGCCCAGCACCAGAAGCUGUCAGGCACCAGCAGCCCUUUUCACCCGGGUCCAGCCCUCCAGCCCUGACCCUAGCCAUCCCUCGGAACUCCUCUGCUCCCUGCCGCCUGCCCUGCUCCACCCAGGAAGGCCACCCUGACUGCAAGAUCCAGCAGGAGGGAAUGUGGCUGGAACUGGGGAUGACCUGUCCCUUUCAAGUGGCCCCCCUGAGACUUCCCUAUUCCCCAUCCAGGCCUCACCAAUGCAGGUGCUGCCCCCAAUCCCGACCUGGUCAGUGCCCCAGGUCCCUCAGCCCCACGUCCCACGGCAGAAGCCCUGAGGACUGACUCCUGGGGGAGAACAGCAUUCCCACCGCCUGCAGCCUCUCCCCUCUGGCAGGCGCACCCAGGAGAUGGAAUCCCCUGCCCGCCCAGCUCAGGCCCGGCUGUCCUAGGUUGGGCAGGUGGGUGGACCCAGGCUUGUCUGCUGCCUGAGUUCCAGAGAGGGAGGACCCUGGGGUGGAGGGUGAGGGAUUCUGUGGAAGUUUGUAAAUAAAG
rnacentral:sRNA from 1 species